AAUGGUGAAACUAAAAUCCGCACAUAUAUCGUCACAUUACUCUGGGUGCCUUUUAAAGGUGGAGAAUGCGGAUAUAUGGAGGCCUAAC
rnacentral:sRNA from 1 species